GUUGAAAUAGGACACAGCACCUUGGGUCUCACUUGACUCCGAUGGUGAUCACGCAAGUAAGUGUUUCAGAAGAAAUGUAUGGAAGAAAAACAGGAAGACCCUUUUUCAAUGAGACCCCAAGAGGAGAUCCAGCGUCACCAUCAUUAGAUCAUACCCUCACCUGGUGCCCUAUCCUCACAGCCAGCAUUCCUUGUUUCUGUUUGAAUUCAGCAAUGAUACAAGCCUAUCUAUUUGCCAUUGGCAUCUUGAAGUUUAAGUCUGGCACUGCAUAGAAAGGGUGGGCCAUGAAGCAGCUGAGUUUUGGGCUGCCUUCCUUCAGCAGUCAAGGACAUGGCAGAAGAAGAAGGAGCGGAGCAGUACCUCUCCCAGAAGGCACACAUGGAACAAGGUGGCUUUCAGGGGUCUGGCUCAAACCCAACUACACCCUGCAUCUCCCAUCCCUCUAAGUGAUUGCCAUCUUCUGCUACUAUAUGAGAUUUCCUUCAGUGCAAUCCUGUCCUGGUAGAUAGAAGCAUCUAUCUCUGUUUCCCUCCUUCCUACCAUGUUCUUGGACCCACCAGCAGGCAGCAGCAAAGCAAGUGGCAACCAGCACACCUCCAGCCCAGGCUCCUCAGCUAUUGAAGAAUGUGGGCUGCUGUGCCUGCUGAAAGGCUUGGGAAAGUGCAGCCCUGCUGUUUCAUGUCAACAUUCCUCCCCCUCUGCCUUUCCCAAGGUCUCAGGCAGAAAAUCCCUUUUUGUUCUUAUCAGUUCAAACAAGAACAAUGAAUUCCUCAGGCCCGCAAGAAUGUGACAAGGUGCCAACAAAGCCAACCAGGAAGGUGAUGUAUGGUCUAUAGGCUGCAGCUCGAAUAAAUCACUUCACAAACCAGUGCUGCAAGGAACGAAUUCAAACAGCUUAGAGCCUCCUGUUCUAGCUCUGCCCUUCAGAUUUUCACCUGCCAAAUAUCCUGAAUAAAAGCACUAUGUGUGAUGUUAAAACGUUGCAUGCCCUUUGCUUUUGUUAACAGGAAUAACUGUGCAGCAUAUAAUUAAAU